AUUGAACGCUGGCGGCGUGCUUAACACAUGCAAGUCGAGCGGUAACAGGUGUAGCAAUACAUGCUGACGAGCGGCGAACGGGUGAGUAAUGCAUCGGAAUCUUCCUAGUAGUGGGGAACAACCUGGGGAAACUCAGGCUAAUACCGCAUACGACCUACGGGUGAAAGCAGGGGAUCGCAAGACCUUGCGCUAUUAGAUGAGCCGAUGUCGGAUUAGCUAGUUGGUGAGGUAAAGGCUCACCAAGGCGACGAUCCGUAGCUGGUCUGAGAGGACGACCAGCCACACUGGAACUGAGACACGGGCCAGACUCCUACGGAAGGCAGCAGUGGGGAAGAUUGGACAAUGGGGGCAACCCUGAUUCAGCGACGCCGCGUGUGUGAAGAAGGCCUGCGGGUUGUAAAGCACUUUUAGUGGGGACAAAAAGCCGAGGGCUAAUACUCUUCGGUCUUGAUUUAACCCAAAGAAAAAGCACCGGCUAACUCUGUGCCAGCCGCCGCAGUAAUAC
rnacentral:rRNA from 1 species